rnacentral:rRNA from 1 species
UACAGGGGGUGCAAACGUUGCUCGGAAUCAUUGGGCGUAAAGCGCACGUAGGCGGUCUGUUAUGUCGGAUGUGAAAGCCCUUGGCUCAACUGAGGAAGUGCAUCCGAAACUGGCAGGCUAGAGUACUAAAGAGGAUCGCGGAAUUCCCGGUGUAGAGGUGAAAUUCGUAGAUAUUCGCAAGAACACCAGUGGCGAAGGCGGCUCACUGGCCCGGUACUGACGCUGAGGUGCGAAAGCGUGGGGAGCAAACAGG